rnacentral:rRNA from 1 species
CCUACGGGAGGCAGCAGUGGGGAAUAUUGGGCAAUGGGCGCAAGCCUGACCCAGCAACGCCGCGUGAAGGAAGAAGGCUUUCGGGUUGUAAACUUCUUUUAUCAGGGACGAAGCAAGUGACGGUACCUGAUGAAUAAGCCACGGCUAACUACGUGCCAGCAGCCGCGGUAAUACGUAGGUGGCAAGCGUUAUCCGGAUUUACUGGGUGUAAAGGGCGUGUAGGCGGGAGUGCAAGUCAGAUGUGAAAACUAUGGGCUCAACCCAUAGCCUGCAUUUGAAACUGUACUUCUUGAGUGCUGGAGAGGCAAUCGGAAUUCCGUGUGUAGCGGUGAAAUGCGUAGAUAUCUGGAGGAACAUCAGUGGCGAAGGCGACUAUCUGGCACAUAACUGACGCUGAGGAGCGAAAGCGUGGGUAGCAAACAGGAUUAGAUACCCCUGUAGUC